rnacentral:rRNA from 1 species
AUUGAACGCUGGCGGCAUGCCUUACACAUGCAAGUCGAACGGUAACAGGUCUUCGGAUGCUGACGAGUGGCGAACGGGUGCGUAAUACAUCGGAACGUGCCCAGACGUGGGGGAUAACGAGGCGAAAGCUUUGCUAAUACCUCAUACGAUCUAAGGAUGAAAGCAGGGGACCGCAAGGCCUUGUGCGUUUGGAGCGGCCGAUGGCAGAUUAGGUAGUUGGUGGGAUAAAAGCUUACCAAGCCGACGAUCUGUAGCUGGUCUGAGAGGACGACCAGCCACACUGGGACUGAGACACGGCCCAGACUCCUACGGGAGGCAGCAGUGGGGAAUUUUGGACAAUGGGCGAAAGCCUGAUCCAGCAAUGCCGCGUGCAGGAUGAAGGCCUUCGGGUUGUAAACUGCUUUUGUACGGAACGAAAAGGCUCUGGCUAAUACCUGGGGCACAUGACGGUACCGUAAGAAUAAGCACCGGCUAACUACGUG